GGUGCCCGUGCCCUCCUAAAGGGACCCUAAGAUGUUGGGGCCCAUCUGAGAUCCUGGGGGCGUGCCAGGUUGUGGAUGGGCAAGCCCGAGCUUCAGGGAAGAGAGGCUGUGUGCGCCCCGCCCCCCUUCCUGGGGAAUCUCAGCAGACAGGCCCUUAAUCUCAGGCAGGAAGCAGGGUCCGGUUACCAGGAGCUCCCAGGUGGGACCUGCCCUAGGAAAUGCCCAAUCUGACAGAGCAGCAGGACCCAGACUGAAGAGAACAAGGAUUUGGCUGCAGACGGAGUCAAGUUUGGAAGAACUUUUAGAAGCCAGCUGUAGUUGUUAACUGCAACAGAGGAGCAGAGAAAGCUGGGACAUCUCCCCACUGGGUUUGAACCUUGGCACUGUUAUGGGGAGGGAUGUUUGCCCUGGAUCUGGAGCUGAACCUCAGCCUUCUAUGAGCAAUUGCCCCAGCCUUUUAAGUGAAUUCUUGGCCUGCAGGGGUCAUGAGGACAUGAAAGGAACCAAGGGUUAGUGAAUAGAGCUCAGGCCUUUUCUGCAGACAGAAAGUUACAGGAUUAUGACCUGGCUUUGACAGCCCCGGUUGUGGGGCUUUCAAGGCAGCUGCUGAGCCUGGAGCCCAGCCCCUCCCCCACUCUCAGAACCAUAAGGAUGUGGAACAUGGGUUCUUCCUUUUUGAGGCCAAGCCUGGUUCCUGGGAUGCAGAAAUCACUAGGUGAAGACAUAACUGGUCCCAAACCCCCAAGGCUUUGGAACCUCCACCUGCUGGGAGGGAAAAUUCAAGAGUUCCCAACACCUGCUCAGGGCUAGGCUGGCUGCUUUGUCACAAAGACAUCCUCUACUGGGGUGCCUGGGUGGCUCAGGGGGUGUAGCAUCUGCCUUUGGCUCAGGUCAUGAUCCCAAAGUCCCG